rnacentral:rRNA from 1 species
UACGAAGGGGGCUAGCGUUGUUCGGAAUUACUGGGCGUAAAGCGCACGUAGGCGGCUUCUUAAGUCAGGGGUGAAAUCCUGGAGCUCAACUCCAGAACUGCCUUUGAUACUGAGAAGCUUGAGUCCGGGAGAGGUGAGUGGAACUGCGAGUGUAGAGGUGAAAUUCGUAGAUAUUCGCAAGAACACCAGUGGCGAAGGCGGCUCACUGGCCUGGUACUGACGCUGAGGUGCGAAAGCGUGGGGAGCAAACAGG